GGCGCCCCAGCCCCCUCCCCUCGGAUGUGACUGGAGCUGGAAGCCCGCGGGCCGUAGACGCUGCUGCUGCUGCAGGAUCGCGACCCGGAGCAUCUGAGGUGGUGAAUAAUAGCUCUUCAAGUCUACAAUUAAAAAUGGCCUCUAACAAAACUACAUUGCAAAAAAUGGGAAAGAAACAAAAUGGAAAGAGUAAAAAAGUUGAAGAAGCAGAGCCUGAAGAAUUUGUUGUGGAAAAAGUACUGGACCGACGUGUAGUGAAUGGGAAAGUAGAAUAUUUCCUGAAGUGGAAAGGAUUUACAGAGUAAGAAACUUGUCUUUUCCUUUA